CUGUACCUACGGGAGGCAGCAGUAGGGAAUCUUCCACAAUGGACGAAAGUCUGAUGGAGCAACGCCGCGUGAGUGAAGAAGGGUUUCGGCUCGUAAAGCUCUGUUGGUAGUGAAGAAAGAUAGAGGUAGUAACUGGCCUUUAUUUGACGGUAAUUACUUAGAAAGUCACGGCUAACUACGUGCCAGCAGCCGCGGUAAUACGUAGGUGGCAAGCGUUGUCCGGAUUUAUUGGGCGUAAAGCGAGUGCCGGCGGUUCAAUUAAGU
rnacentral:rRNA from 1 species